GCCUCCGUGGCGCAAUUGGUUAGCGCGUUCGGCUGUUAACCGAAAGGUUGGUGGUUCAAGUCCACCCGGGGGCG
rnacentral:tRNA from 1 species